UACAGGGGGUGCAAGCGUUGCUCGGAUUUACUGGGCGUAAAGCGUACGCAGACGGUAAGGAAGGUCGAAUGUGAAAGCCCCCGGGCUCAACCCGGGAAAUGCAUCCGAAACCCCCUUGCUAGAGUAUGAGAGAGGGAAGCGGAAUUCCGUGGUGUAGAGGUGAAAUUCGUAGAUAUCAGGAGGAACAUCGGCGGCGAAGGCGGCUUCCGUG
rnacentral:rRNA from 1 species